rnacentral:lncRNA from 1 species
AUGAUUGUAAAUCAAUCAGUGAUCCUCUGUCAUGAUUGUAAAUCAAUCAAUGAUCAAAUCUUACCAUAUUUAGCAUAGCAUGAUUCUAGGACAUAAUUGAGGGCACAAUCAAAGAUCUAAUUGUUCAUAUUAUGUACUAUAUAAACUCUGUAACUUACUACACAAGAGGAAAGAAAAUAAAAGCAGUUUUCUCCCUAUAAUCUCAAGAUGGUAUCAGGGCAGGUUUCGGCCUAAAAUUAUAGCCGUCUUGCAAUCAUCCGUUACCAGAUACCUUUCCCGACCUUCUCUCACUAAACCAACCUACCAGAUACCUUUUCCAACUUCUUUCUCUCACUGAAACAACAAUGGCCGGCCUCCCCAGCCCGGCUGACCAAUCCCAGGCAAUAAUUGAUCCAAUAGCAGACCUGUCACAAAAACUAUUCCAGUUAAUUUAGAAUAGCCAAAAUGGAAAUCAGAAAUCAGCAAACCAAUUCACUCUUGAUUCAGCACAGCCACCGUCCGACAUAAAAUUGAAUGAUUUCAAUUAUGUUGUUUGGGCAAAGAUGAUGGAGAUGUUUAUCACAGGGCGAGGGAAAUCAAACCAUCUGACUGGGACUCCCUCCCCUCCGAUAGAAACAGACCCCGCAAUUUACCUGUGGCAAACUAAUGACAGCAUUGUCCGAGGAUGGUUAAUCCAGACGGUAGAACAGAAGCUCCGUCCAAAUUUAUUGCAGCACAAGACAAGCAAAGGACCAUGGGAUGCCCUCAAGAUCAGAUUCAAUACAGGUAGCAACAAACUUAUCAUUUAUGAGUUACAGUCUAAAGCAUACAAAUUAACACAACAAGGAAGCAAUCUGGAAGAUUUAUACAAUGAUCUUCAGGCUACGUGGGCCGAGAUCGAUGAAAGACAAUCGACCAGAAUCGAAGGAGACAACAAUAUCAUUAUCCGGAACCUGGAAAUCCAGGAUGAACGUCUGUACCUAUUUUUGGCCGGAGUACAGUCGGACCUCGAUCCAGUCUAUCGAGAAAUUCUCAACGAGGAGCCAUUGCCGACCUUGGACAAUGCCUACUCUCGGCUCCGAGGUGAGAAGUUGCGCCGUGCCAUCCACCUUCCUCUUCCAUCACCAGCGACAGCAGGUUCCGACCUCGUGGGGGCCGGUCUAUUGGCUAAAAACUGGUCAGACACAGACAAGUCAUCACUCCGGGAUGAUAAAUCAGGCUUAAAAUGCACCCAUUGCGGCGGAUCUCGACAUACCCGGGACGGAUGCUUUAAGAUCAUAGGGUAUCCAGAGUGGUGGGAGGAAAACAAGAUCCGUAAGAAGAAAGGAAAGGGACAAGGCGCAGGGAAUACGGCCGCGGUCACUAUCAGCAGCACCCAAAAGGCUGCCUGCGGCAACAACCUGAUCGGACAAACGGAGAAAAACUCGGGCAACGGACAGAGCUUAGGGGUUGCAGCGGCGCUAUAAGGAGCCGAGAAAGGAGGAGGCACGGGUGUCCCUUAUGAUCGGGAAGGAGGUAUUUUAAGGUUAGAAAGGAGGGAUAAUGACCUUUCUACCCCUGUCUUUUUAAAUAAAUCUAAAUGUGCCCAUGCUUAUUUUAAUUCUUGUAAAAUUAAAUCCCUGGUCCCAGAUGUUUUAGAUAAGUCUGUUUGUAAUCUUAAAACUGAAUCGUUAGCCCUUAAUUCUAUCGGUCAUGCUCACAAGGUACAAAAUUCUAGUGGGUGGAUAUUUGAUUCAGGAGCCACAGACACUAUGACUAAUGAUUCUUCAGAUUUUGUUGUGUCAGCCCCACCCUCAAAAUCCAAUAUUCUAAACGCUACCGGUGGCUCCUUCUUGGUCAUCGGUGGUGGUACCGUUUCUAUAACCCCCACUUUAAAUGUCUCCAAUAGCCUCUAUGUACCUUCCUUAUCUUGCAAAUUACUCUCUGUCAGUCAGAUCACCAAACAGUUAAAUUGCAGAGUACUCAUGUAUCCUCAUUUUUGUGUUUUGCAGGAUAUUCAUACGGGCACAGUACUGGGCCGUGGUACUGAGAAAGAUGGACUGUACUAUGUGGAGGAGGUCUCAAGUACUGGGUCAGCUCAUUUAGCUCAAGGGUCCCCAACCCGACAAUUAUGGCUCUAGCACCGGCGCUUCGGCCAUCUCUCAAGUGAUUAUCUUCGUACUUUGUUUCCUGAGUUUAGAUCCAUUGACAUUCCAGUUUGUACUUCAUGUGUGCUUGCUAAGAGUCAUAAGAGUACUUAUCAUAUAUCCACAAAUAAGUCUGAUACUCCCUUCUCAAUAAUACACUCUGAUGUAUGGGGGCCUACCCUGGAAACUGUCUCCCCUGAUUAUAGAUACUUUGUGACUUUUAUUGAUGACUGCACUCGUGUUACUUGGAUUUACCUGUUAAAACAAAAAUACGAAGUGGCUGAGAAAUUUUGUGAUUUUUUUCGUAUGAUUAAAACCCAGUUUCACAGGACCAUUCAAGUCCUCCGAUCUGACAAUGGGGGGGAAUUUGUCAAUAACCACCUCCAAACCUUUUUCUGGGAUAAUGGGAUCCUUCACCAAACUACUUGCCCUUAUACACCACAGCAAAAUGGGGUCGCUGAAAGGAAAAAUCAACAUAUCCUUGAGACUGCCCGAGCCCUUUUGUUUGAAGCCUAAGUUCCUCCUAAAUUUUGGUCUGAAGCAGUUGUGGUGUCCAUUUACCUCAUCAAUCGACAUCUGUCUCGCGUUCUUAAUUUCCAAUCUCCCUUGCAUACCUUGUCCUCUCAUCACACUAUCCCUUCCCAUCUCAACCUUCCACCUAAAAUUUUUGGCUGCACAGUUUAUGUUCACAUUCCUAAAACACACCGCACUAAACUUAAUCCAUGUGCUCUUAAAUGUGUUUUCUUUGGUUAUGGUGUCCAUAAAAAGGGCUAUCGGUGUUUUGACCCAAUCUCUAAACGGAUCUUCACCACCAUGGACUGCACUUUUCUUGAAGAGGAAUAUUUUUUUCCCUCGCCAACUAACAGUGAGGGGGAGACAGCGGCACAAUCACCACCACUGCCAAAUUGGCUUAGUCAGAGGGGGCCAGAACUUGGUCAUUCUUCCCUUCCUAAGUCUACACCAGAACUGGAAGACACCGGUCAUUCUUCCCUUCCUGAGUCUACACCAGCACUGGGAGACACUGACCAUCUAGUACAGUCCUCGGCCUCAACAUCACAACCAGAACCUGACACCGUAGAAUAUCCUGAGGAACACACAACUGAGGUAUGUGAAUCUGAACUUUCUCCUGUUCCUAAUAACCUCACCGUUGAACCCAUUUCCCUUGAGGUUCCUGAAACAGGCCAAUAUGUUCUACCCCCUCGGAAUAAUAGAGGAAUUCCACUCAGGAGAUAUGAUCCAGAAUUCGAGGCAGCCAGGUCCAGAUACCCUGUGGCAAACGUUACCAGAGGAGAAAGACUAUCACCUCAGUUGGUCAACCUACAGAAAAACAUUUGCUCAGAAUGGAUACCAAAGGAUGCCACAGAGGCCUAGAAGGACAAAAGAUGGGUUGAGGCAAUGGAGAUCGAGAUGGAUGCCCUAGAGAAAAACAAGACCUGGGAAAAAUGCUGGCUACCCAAGGGAAAACGACCAGUGGGAUGCAAAUGGGUGUUUACCAUAAAGUAUAAGUCAGACGGAACGGUGGACAGAUAUAAAGCUAGACUUGUAGCAAAAGGAUAUACUCAGACUUAUGGAGUUGACUAUUCUGAAACAUUCUCUCCAGUAGCAAAAAUUGAUACAAUACGGGUCCUAUUCUCUCUAGCUGCAAACCUAGACUGGCCACUUCACCAAUUUGAUGUGAAAAAAUACUUUCUUGCAUGGUGAUCUAGAAGAGGAAGUAUACAUGGAUGCUCCACCAGGGUUCAUGAGUGGAUAUAGAAGGGGAGAAGUGUGUCGAUUGAGGCGAGCCUUGUAUGGGUUGAAACAGUCACCCAGAGCAUGGUUUGGGAGAUUUACUCAAGCAAUGAAGAAAAAUGGAUAUCGACAGAGUAACUCCGAUCACACUCUAUUCUUAAAGAGGCAAGGAAGGAAGAUCACAUGUUUGAUUAUAUACGUGGAUGACAUUAUUAUAACUGGAGACGAUGUGGACGAAAUUAAACAACUGAGGGACAACUUAUUCCAAGAAUUUGAGAUGAAAGAUCUGGGGAUGCUAAAAUAUUUUCUUGGAAUCGAAGUUCUCAAGUCAGACCAGGGAAUUUUGAUAUUACAAAGAAAGUACAUUCUUGAUCUGUUAACUAAAACAGAAAUGAUAGAUUGCAAACCAGUCGAUACUUCGGUAAUGGUCAAUCACGAGUUGAGCAAGGACUCAAAACAAGGACCCACAGACAGGGGGAGGUACCAGAGACUGGUAGGAAAACUGAUUUAUUUAUCACACACCAGACCAGACGUGGCAUAUGCUGUGACUUUGGUAAGUCAGUUCAUGCAUGAUCCAAAACAAGACCAUAUGGAGGCAGCAUUGAGAAUCGUUCGAUAUCUGAAAGGAACAGCUAGGAUGGGCAUGUUGUUCAAAAAGAAUGGUCUUUUCAGUAUCAGUGGAUAUACGGACGCAAGUUGGGCAGGAGAUCUCUCCGACAGACGAUCUACUUCAGGAUACUUUACCUUUGUCGGAGGAAAUUUGGUAACGUGGAAAAGUAAGAAACAAAAGGUGGUGGCACUGUCAAGUGCUGAAGCAGAAUUCAGGGGAAUAGCAAAAGGACUGGAAGAACUCCUAUGGAUCAGAAAGUUGAUGUUUGAGCUUGGAUUCCCAUCAAAGGAUGCAGCUGAACUCCGUUGUGACAACAAGGCGGCAAUAAGCAUUUCUGAAAAUCCAGUUCAGCAUGAUCGAACAAAACAUGUUGAAAUAGAUCGACAUUUCAUCAAAGAAAAGUUGGACAGUGGUCUGAUACCUUUACCGUUUGUUCGAUCAGAGGAUCAAUGGGCGGACAUCCUAACCAAAGCAGUAGCUGGACGAAUAUUCCAUGAGGUUUUGGGCAAGUUGGGUAUGCUAGAUCCACAUGAACCAACUUGAGGGGGAGUGUUGGAAAGAAUCCUCUGCCAUGAUUGUAAAUCAAUCAGUGAUCCUCUGUCAUGAUUGUAAAUCAAUCAGUGAUCAAAUCUUACCAUGUUUAUCAUAGCAUGAUUCUAGGACAUAAUUGAGGGCACAAUCAAAAGUCUAAUUGUUCAUAUUAUGUACUAUAUAAACUCUGUAACUUACUAC